GGAAUAUUGGACAAUGGGCGCAAGCCUGAUUCAGCCAUACCGCGUGGGUGAAGAAGGCCUUCGGGUUGUAAAGCCCUUUUGUUGGGAAAGAAAUCCUGCCGGUUAAUAACCAGUAGGGAUGACGGUACCCAAAGAAUAAGCACAGGCUAACUUCGUGCCAGCAGCCGCGGACAUACGAAGGGUGCAAGCGUUACUCGGAAUUACUGGGCGUAAAGCGUUCGUAGGUGGUUGUUUAAGUCUGUUGUUAAAGCCCUGGGCUCAACCUGGGAAUUGCAAUGGAUACUGGGCGACUAGAGUGUGGUAGAGGACAGUGGAAUUUCCGGUGUAGCAGUGAAAUGCGUAGAGAUCGGAAGGAACAUCUGUGGCGAAGGCGACUGUCUGGGCCAACACUGACACUGAGGCACGAAAGCGUGGGGAGCAAAC
rnacentral:rRNA from 1 species